AGUGAACGCUGGCGGUAGGCCUAACACAUGCAAGUCGAACGGCAGCACAGAGGAGCUUGCUCCUUGGGUGGCGAGUGGCGGACGGGUGAGGAAUACAUCGGAAUCUACUCUGUCGUGGGGGAUAACGUAGGGAAACUUACGCUAAUACCGCAUACGACCUACGGGUGAAAGCAGGGGAUCUUCGGACCUUGCGCGAUUGAAUGAGCCGAUGUCGGAUUAGCUAGUUGGCGGGGUAAAGGCCCACCAAGGCGACGAUCCGUAGCUGGGUCGGGAUGAUGAUCAGCCACACUGGAACUGAGACACGGUCCAGGCUCCUACGGGUGGCAGCAGUGGGGAAGAUAGGAGAAUGGGCGCAAGCCUGAUACAGCCAUACCGCGUGGGUGAAGAAGGCCUUCGGGUUGUAAAGCCCUUUUGUUGGGAAAGAAAUCCAGCUGGCUAAUACCCGGUUGGGAUGACGGUACCCAAAGAAUAAGCACCGGCUAACUUCGUGCCAGCAGCCGCGGUAA
rnacentral:rRNA from 1 species